GUCGAGGAUCUUCGGCAAUGGGCGCAAGCCUGACCGAGCGACGCCGCGUGUGCGAUGAAGGCCUUCGGGUUGUAAAGCACUGUCGAGGGGGAGGAAAGCCCGCAAGGGUCUGACCUAUCCCUGGAGGAAGCACGGGCUAAGUUCGUGCCAGCAGCCGCGGUAAGACGAACCGUGCAAACGUUGUUCGGAAUCACUGGGCUUAAAGGGCGCGUAGGCGGGCAGCCAAGUCUGUGGUGAAAUCUUUCGGCUCAACCGGAAAAUUGCCGUGGAUACUGGUUGUCUUGAGGGAGGUAGGGGCCUGUGGAACUUCCGGUGGAGCGGUGAAAUGCGUUGAUAUCGGAAGGAACGCCGGUGGCGAAAGCGACGGGCUGGACCUUUUCUGACGCUGAGGCGCGAAAGCUAGGGGAGCAAACGGGAUUAGAUACCCCGGUAGUCC
rnacentral:rRNA from 1 species